GAUCCUGGCUCAGGAUGAACGCUAGCGACAGGCUUAACACAUGCAAGUCGAGGGGCAGCAUGAGGUAGCAAUACCUUGAUGGCGACCGGCGCACGGGUGAGUAACGCGUAUGCAACCUGCCCGAUACCGGGGUAUAGCCCAUGGAAACGUGAGUUAACUAACCCCACUAGUACUUUAUUCUGCAUGGGUAGUGUUGAGUUAAAUAGUUCAAGGUAGUCGGAGUGGGCGAUGCGUCCUACUUAGUUUAGG
rnacentral:rRNA from 1 species